rnacentral:rRNA from 1 species
UACGGAGGGUGCGAGCGUUGUCCGGAAUCACUGGGCGUAAAGGGCGCGUAGGCGGCCUGAUAAGUAGGGGGUGAAAUCCUGCGGCUUAACCGCAGGGCUGCCUUCUAAACUGUCAGGCUUGAGCACAGUAGAGGCAGGUGGAAUUCCCGGUGUAGCGGUGAAAUGCGCAGAUAUCGGGAAGAACACCCGUGGCGAAGGCGGCUCUCUGGGACGGUACUGACGCUGAGACGCGAAAGCGUGGGGAGCGAACAGG